rnacentral:lncRNA from 1 species
AUGUUUUCAUGUGCACUCCUAAUGAUGAUGAUGAGCCAUCCUCUAUGGAUGAAGCACUUGCAUCAUCUACAAGCAAAGAGUGGUUAGCUGCCAUGCAGGAUAAGUUUUAUAGCUAAGAAUAAGAUCUGGGAGUUAGUUGACCUUCUGUUAAGGUGCAAGACCAUUGGGAACAAAUGAGUCCUAAAGGUCAAGCGAAAGGUAGAUGGUUCAAUUGACAAGUAUAAGAUAUGUCUAGUUGUGAAGGGUUCUCUAAAAAGAGGGUAUAGACUAUGGGGAGAUAUUCUUUUCGAUGGUG